GCCUUCGUGGUAAUGGUCAACACACUGAGCCGGUAUUUCAGAGGUCCGUGGUUCGAUUCCCGGCGAAGGAA
rnacentral:tRNA from 1 species